UAUAAUGGAGAUUCUAUUCUAUACAUAUAUAUAUAUAAAUAGAUACAUAUAUUGCUGUCAUAAAAAUUUGACAGAUAAAUUAAAGUUUCUUCUAAAUAUUUCAGAUAGCCUCAGAAUUAUAACCCUUUAAGCUGUGCUACAUUUGUUCCCAUAUACUAAAGUGAAAUGAAAAUUAAUGACCGUCGAAUAUGCAUAUCUUUUCUAAAACCAAAUCUCUAAACGUAUGGUCAUAGAAUUUUCUUAGAAACUUGUUAUAGUUGAAAAAGUUUAAAGGAAGUUUAAAAAGUUUAAAAAGAAGAACGCAGAGCAAAUAUUGAACGUUGGACAGCAAAGGGUUAAUAUUUUACAUUUCAUUUAACAGAACACAUAACAGACAUCAUGCUUUUAAGUUUUUUCCUAAAUAAAAUAAAUGUUCUAACGAAGUGCAACUUGCAUUUUGAAAAUUGAUAGUGGGUGUACGCGUAGUUCUGUGAUAUGUAAGAUGUAGCAUAUUUAUAGAUCUACCUAUCGUGCAUCAUGAUUAAAAUAAGGAACGUAUCUUAUCAGUUUUAUACGUGGUAUACAAAUCAUAUGAUCCUAAAUGACGUGUACUGCGAGAGCUGUCUACUUUAAGGAAAGAAAAACAAAAGUUGUUGCGAAAAAGCGAAAGAUCAGUAUUCCUUUUUUUUUUUUUGUUUGCGUUUGCCGUGCGAAUUCGUAUAUUGUCAGGGUAGAGAAUAGGGAGAAGAAAUUGGAAUAUGAAAACGUGUAUUACUUCAGAGCGUUCUUCUAUUCAUCAAUAUCCAAGUUUUUUAUUUCAUUAUGUAGUCUGAUAAAUUCAUCUUCUAAGCGUAUAUGAAGAUGUAGACACAAGGGUUCUUCGUUUCUCUCUUUCUCAUAUAUUGUCAAACUAUUUAUCUCUUUUUUUUGUAUGUUUGUCUAUUUUAUUAAGAUAUAGUCUUCUAAAUACUUACGUGUUUGUUGCUAACAAAGGAAUCUAUGAAAUUUCAGUAUUUUUCAGCUAUGGGUUCUUUUUUGUUCUUUUUACUUCUCUUUUUUUUUUAUUUGCGUUAAUGAACAAUUAUAAAUCUUAUGUUCAUUUGUAAUCGUACUACGUUUAACGAGAACUGUUAAAAACAUGGAUGCGUAUUUUUCGUAUAGUAGAAUAUGCGGUAUACUUCAUUUCUACGGUGCAAAAUCGUAUCUCUGAAGUCUACUUUCUCCCUACUAGUCGAUAUUCAUUUUUUUUUUUUUGUUCUUUUUUUGUAUUAUACUCCGUUUUGUCGUGUUGUUAGGGAACAUCCAUUUCAGCUGUACACUUUUAAUGUAACUCUUAACGAGAUCAGUCAUCUCUAGUUGAUAACGAAAGAUUUCCCGGAGAGAAAAAAACGAAAUCUUAUUCUCUUGUUGUUACAAAAUGAAAAAGCGGAAACGAAACUAGUGUUCAACACUAAACUUUGCAAUAUCGAUGAACUCGAAUAUAUUUGGUCGAUAAUAUUUCUAAGUAAACCGUACAUAUAUUUUUUUAUAUCAGUUUUCAACAGUGAUGGUAAACGUUGAACGAAUGAGAUGAGGGAGGUAGUUUUCAAGAUAUCUCUAUGACACGCCUUCCGUCUGUUUAAUUGAAGAAAAGGUUCGAAAAAUAUAUUCUCGUGAAAUCUUUGCGCUUGCAUUAAGCACACUCGUUCAGGUCAUGUUAGUUGAUCGAUCGAACUUGUAACCUUAUAUUUAUAAUCUGUUGUUCGUUUCACUCGAAGAAAAAAAAAAAAAAAAAGAAAAGGAAAAGAGUCAAUGAAACGAUAAAAUCGGCACAGUUUUUCGUGUUGUAAAGAUCGACGAAUAAAAUGACGUCGAGUUUUACGUGCUGAGAAAAUCGUUAAUGACACUAACAUAGUCUCGGGAACACGAGAGUACCUUUUUAACGAUUAAUGCUGAACGCUGUGAUAUCGCGUACAUAAACAUUUUUAUUAUUAUAAACAUAAAUGUGCAUAUUGUAAUGUUAAAAAAAAAAAAAAAAGAAGAAGAAGAGUACAUAUUCUCCUUUAUAUGUGAAGACUGAAUCUCGCCAACUUAUACACAGGUUUAGCAGCCGCAGAUACGUUCGUAUACUGGAUAGACUACAGAUAGACUAUUUGUACAUUAUUAAUUGUAACAAUAUGUUUUUACGUCGGUAGUGCCGUAUGUGGGGACGGUACUACUAUGUUAUAGUUCGAUAACGGGUGCGUGUUCGUAUUGUGCAUUUUUUCUUUUUAUUGAGAAUUAAUGUCUUCGGUGUGUCGUGAUGAGAAAUUCGCCAGAUAUUUCGCGUUUACUUUCCAUAGAGGUUGGAAUAGUUGCACGAAUCUGGUUUCCUGUUUAUUUCUUUCUUUUAUUUUUUCUUUUUUUUUUUUUUUUUUUUUUUUUUUUCUACAAUUUCGUUUGAUUCUGGUCGAAAAAGAAUUCGAUCAAAAAAAAAAGGAAAGAUAUCAAGUUAAAAAUAUCGUUUGUAUUUGAUUUUCGAAUGAUUGCUUGCCACGUUUCACUUGUUUUUGAUUUAUCAAUUAUAGAUCGUUCGUGAAAUAAAGGGACAUUACAACAACAACAGUACAAUCCGUUUCAUGAUAGUUCCUAUAUUGCAUUCUUCUUUGUAACGUGAAUGAAUUGCAGCUUAAAUUUUUGCUAAGAUGAGUCAAAGAAUUUUCACACUUUUUCUCUGCGUAUCGUUCUAUUUGGUU